rnacentral:rRNA from 1 species
AUACCGGCGGCUCGAGUGGUGGCCACUAUUACUGGGCUUAAAGCGUCCGUAGCUUGGUUGUUAAGUCUCUUGGGAAAUCUUCACGCUCAACGUGAAGGCGUCUAAGAGAUACCGGCAGUCUUGGAACUGGGAGAGGUAAACCGUACUUCGGGGGUAGGAGUGAAAUCUUGUAAUCCUCGAGGGACGACCUAUGGCGAAGGCAGUUUACCAGAACAGCUUUGACAGUGAGGGACGAAAGCU